ensembl:lncRNA
CUUCUAAUUUUGAGACAGAUUGAACAAUUGGAAAGUAUGAUCAGCUUUAGAAAAUUAAAAUGGAAAAUUAUCAGAACGGAAGAAUGAACCAUUUUCAUCCAUGACUUCACAUGGACUGUUUGAGUAUAGAGCCAGGUGAAAUUGAAUUGUGAAUGAAAGUAUCUAGAAAUCCCAGAUGAGACUUUUAAAUCCAAGUAAGUUUGAAGCCACUUGAACUUUUCUAAGAUUCACUCCAGCAGCUUAUUUGCACUGAACACAGAAGUCUGAGGCAAGAAUGAGAAGAGACUAAAAUGCACCAUAGGUCUAAGCCAGAAGCUUUGAACUCAGAUGAUGGUGAGGUUCCUGAACACUGAAAGAAAUAAAUAUCACUUCCAUCUUUCUCAAGAUCCAGAAGGAACAUCCAAAGAUCUACCAACCAGUCAGUCUUCCUCAAGCCCUGAGAAGGUGAUGAAGCAAUGAAUUCUGAAGUAUGUUUAGAAACACAUGAAGAACUAGGAGGUAAUCAGGAACAGUCAGCAUGUAUUUACAGUGGAGAAAUCAUGCUUUUGCAA